UACGUAGGUGACAAGCGUUAUCCGGAUUUAUUGGGCGUAAAGCGCACGCAGGCGGCCAUUCAAGUCUGACGUGAAAUCUCUCGGCUUAACCGGGAGCGGUCGUUGGAAACUGAGUGGCUUGAGGCGAUGAGAGGGGUGUGGAAUUCCCGGUGUAGUGGUGGAAUGCGUAGAUAUCGGGGGGAACAUCAGUGGCGAAAGCGGCGCCCUGGCAUUAGCCUGACGCUCAUGUGCGAAAGCGUGGGGAGCGAACGGG
rnacentral:rRNA from 1 species